GAUGAACGCUAGCGGCAGGCUUAAUACAUGCAAGUCGAGGGGCAGCAUAAGUAGCAAUACUUGAUGGCGACCGGCAAACGGGUGCGGAACACGUACGCAACCUUCCGUUUAAGCGGGGAAUAGCCCGGGGAAACCCGGAUUAAUACCCCAUAAUAUAUUGAGAAAGCAUUUUCUUUUAUUAAAGAUUUAUCACUUAAAGAUGGGCGUGCGCCUGAUUAGGUAGUUGGGCGGAGUAAUAGCCCACCAAGCCNGCGGAUCAGUAACUGGUGUGAGAGCACGACCAGUCA
rnacentral:rRNA from 1 species